rfam:Cricetulus griseus cell line CHO-K1, whole genome shotgun sequence.
AGGGGUGUAGCUGAGGGGUAGAGUGCUUGUUUAGCAUGUAUGAGGCCCUGGGUUCAAUUCCCAGCAACACAG